rnacentral:rRNA from 1 species
ACAUGCAAGUCGAACGGAGAUUACUUCGGUAAUCUUAGUGGCGAACGGGUGAGUAACGCGUGGGCAACCUGCCCUCUAGAUGGGGACAACAUCCCGAAAGGGGUGCUAAUACCGAAUGCGACAGCAAUCUCGCAUGAGGAUG